AACCCGUAAGGCGCAAGGAAG
rnacentral:snRNA from 1 species